GCGGUCGCUGGCGCCCAGAGGCGGCCUCCUUGGGCUUCGGAGCGCGCAGUCGCAGUUGGCAGAUGCGGCCGACCCAAGACGAGGUUGCUGAAGGCCGGCAGGGGGCGCACCAGCUCGCCGACCGCCUGGGCCGCCCUCCCUGCGCAGGGUCAGGACAUGAAGAUGAUAAGUGUUGGUCCUCUCCCAAACAACUUGAGAGAUAAGGAAGAACACAUGAGCUGUGCACCCCUCAUCUGAACUAUGCAGAUAGAUGCUUUCACCCAUGAAGAAAGUAUCAAGACUUCUGCUCUGCCUUGGAUAAGAGGCAGGAUUUGGCCUUUCACAAGUUCCUGUCCACAUUCUCUCUCGGAAGCACAGCGAGUCCCUGUACACAGGAUUCCAUGUCAACCGGGUGGAAUCAACACUUGGUGACAGUGCCAGGAGCAGACAGCUUUGGAGAACUAAAUGGCAGAGCACCUCAGUGAACCAGUAUAUGAGUGAACUGGGCAAGUGUCCACUCGGACCGGAAAGGGAUGACUGCUGUGACCGGACCAUCAGAGAUUUGACCUGGCCGCACAUCCGUACUUUGGAACAGCUAUUAGGGAAGAGAUACUUUAUUUCCACAGGCAUGGCUAAGCUGGUAGGAUGAAGCCUGGAGCUCCUGGCAGCCAUCGUGCCACGAUGAAACCAAAAUGAACUCAGGAAGUUGAAGCUGGGAAAAAAAAAAAUUGAAGUUCUUCAUAAUGCUGAACGCUAAGAUCCAGCCACGCCUGGAGCUGUCCCCGGAAUUUUCAGUUAUAUGGACCAGUAAACUCUUACUUUUUGCUCUCACCAUUUUUUGACACGGCUGCUGGAGGAGUCCCCUGGCUGAUGCUCUUGGUUUUUCUAGGAGCAGGAGCAAUCUCAGCCUUGCAGGAGGCCCUGGAGAAGACCGUCAUUCCACUUUGUCAAUAUAAAAGCUGUCUGCUAGGCCCUGGGGGCCCAGCAAAAAAUCAGCCCCCUUCUCGACCCCAGAUCUCUAUCUCACUUAGUGACUUUAGUGGGGCCAGCAUUUCCAGUGCCUCCUAGAAGGGCAUUUCAGGCGUUCAUUUGCCAGGGACCUGCCUCUGGAGAGUCCUGGAGGAAAAGAUCUCACAGUCGGAAGUCGAGCAUCCGUUCCUCAGAAACUCCUUUGGGGUGUGUGUGGAUGAGGUCCGUCCUCCAUGCUUGAGGCUGACCACUGGAUGCUCAGGCUCUGUGUGGUGCAAACAGACAGUGAGAAUGAGAGAAAGGCGGUAGGACUGGCCUUCUCCCCCAGGGUUUCCUUCUGCCACAGCAGUUACGCUGAUGAAACAUAUGCCGAUGUAGACUAGCAGAUCUGCAACCUUUGGAGUCUAAGCACUGUGGAGAAACACUGGGUUUAGAAACAUUUUAUUUCACCUGUGGCACAUGCAAAAAACCCAAAUGAUACAGAUGCCGCAAAAUGCCUGGUGAGAGAACUGAGGCAUGGGCUGGUUAAAAGAUGCACCCAAGGGCAUGCAGCUAUUAGAGGCAGAGGCUGGAUUUAAAUCUGGACGGUCUAGCUGCAAAGUUACUUUGAGGCCAAAAAGGGGACUCAUUCCUGUCCAUUGAUAAGACAGAAGCUUUACGAGUGCAGAACAGGUUAAUAAUCGGCUAAUUCCGUGCCUGCCAGUGGGAGACAAGUGACGGACCCUUAACCUGGUUUCGAGGUCAAGUUCUUCCUUAAUGGAACCCUGGGAAGAUGAAGGUUCUUAGUUCUAAGAAUGACAAGAUGGACAAACACGCACUUUUAAUACACGGUGGGGGCAUGCCUGGCUCUCUAGACACCUACAAGACCACCCAGAGAUGUAAAUCCAGUGGAGUUGCAUUGUACAAGUAUGUGUGUUUAACUCAUGGCAAAUGAACUAUGCAUGGUGUUCUAAAAGGAAAAAACAGCUGUUUAAAUGGAGCCGGAGAUCCUGGCCCCCACCUGGCUCGGUGCUCAGGAGCCUGGAUGGAUCUGUGACUCCUGUUCCUUCUAUGUGAGCUCAGAGCGUGCGCCCAAUGUGUGAACAUAUGGCUAAUGGCUUCAGGUGGUGCUCAACCCAAGGAAUGUUAUCUAUCCAGCACUGGAGGGAACACGGGCUCUCCUGGGCUGAUGAAGGCAGCAUGUGUGAGUCUCUAACGGGGUACCCUCCUGUGGGUGCUUCCAAAAUUAGUUCUGAUGAUACUCAAAGCUCACCUUGUGCCUUGGCAUUAUAACCGCACCCCCGUGUGAGAUGAAGCCCCACUGAAUGUCAUUUGUCAUCUUUGUGGCUGACAACACUUGUCUCCCUCAACACCCAAGCUUUGUCAUGGUCAACUGGUUUUGCGGCUAAGGAAAUUCCCCUGAAUUCCACUGAGCAUCGAUAUGUAACCAUGAACUUGACUAUGCGGCGAGAAGGAAGAGGAAUCUUGGGAGAGGGAGAAAGUGUGCCAACGUUUGGCAAAGAGUGUUCUGCUGACCACCUGUAUCUACACCCCAGGAUGGGAGUAGGGAGGUGGAAAAUGCAGUCUCAGGCCCCACUUAUGACAUACGAGUUGGAAUCCAUUGAAAUAGGGCUUGGAUGUCAACUUCCUCUAAACCUCCCCAGGUUGAAACCUCACCAUACCACCCUCCAUAAAAAUCAAUUCUGGAGGUGGCCACAAGGCAAGUGCCAUCUGCUGGCCUUUGUUACUGAGUGUCCCAGAAAGGACAUGUUGGCUCAGAAGCGGUGUGGUGUUGUGGUGAAGAACUCAGUUGCCAGAGCCGGAUAUCCCAGGCUUAAACCCUGCCUUUACCACUAGUUGGGACAC